rnacentral:rRNA from 1 species
UACGGAAGGGGCAAGCGUUGUUCGGAAUCAUUGGGCGUAAAGGGCGCGUAGGUGGUUCUGUAUGUCUACCGUGAAAGCAUACAGCUCAACUGUAUUUUGUCGGUAGAAACUGCAGGACUUGAGGCUGGGGAGGGGUUGGUGGAAUUCCCUGUGUAGCGGUGAAAUGCGUAGAGAUGGGGGAGAACACUCGUGGCGAAGGCGGCCAGCUAGACCAGUUCUGACACUGAGGCGCGACAGCGUGGGGAGCAAACAGG